rfam:Oryza brachyantha chromosome 2, whole genome shotgun sequence.
GUGCUUGCAGGUGCAGCACCAUCAAGAUUCACAUCGUCGAGUUCAUCCUAAAAGAGAGAGAGAGAGUGAGAGAGAGAGAGGGAUCGAGGUGUGGCUGACUAUAUGCGAUGAGAAUCUUGAUGAUGCUGCAUCAGCAAACGC